GCCUUCAUGGUGUAAUAUGGUCAGCACACUGAGCCGGUAUUUCAGAGGUCCGCGGUUCGAUCCCCGGCGAAGGCA
rnacentral:tRNA from 1 species